UUUCAUUGUAAAACCCCAGGUUAUCAGAACAGGGGAACUCCAUGAGGAGCCCUAUACUUUCAUCAAAGGUAAGAAUCUUGUGUAACAAAUUCACGAAUAUACACCUAUUAGAUCCUUAAACUGCUUCCACUAGCACCUUAUAGAAUAUGAAGAACAGCAACCCCAAGCAUCUGAAUCCCAACCACUGGGUCAAAUGGCAGACAGACAUGUUUUCCUAUCUGCUGUGAAUGACCGUGGCAAUGAAGCCUACUAUUUCACAUAGCAGCGGUGUUGAAACACACUACUUUUCUAUGCUACGAAAACAUAGCCUUGUAAAGAUUCUUUAAGUUCAAGUCGAGUUUCAAGUAAUCACUAUGCAGCAGCUCUAGGAGAAUUACUGUUCCUCCUGAUUAAAAGCAAAAUGGAAACUACGCCUUAGAGAAUUGUAUUCCUCAAGGCCGCUUACUGCUUGCUUCCAGGCUUUUGUCAAAGGACAGAAUGUGUUGAAUUCUUCUCAGUUGGCAGGGGAUCAAGCACAACACUACAUAAUGAGGUAGCUGAGAACAGUUUUUCCUAUAAACAUGAAGAACAAGGGAAUAAGUGCAUGUGUGAUUCUCAUCCAAUUAAACAGGAAACAUGAUGAAGCAAACUAUUUGUACAGUCAUCUUUGAACCAAGUUCCUCCGUGUAACCCGAAAAAGUGUACUUCAAGGUUCUAAGGUACACCUUGUAACUGAUGAGUGAGGGGAAUACAAAUAAAGUCCUUAAAAACUUCUACUGCAAUGCUAAAAAUGAAGUUAUAAUAAAUAUAAUUCACCAACCAGAAAGAGGAACCUAUAGCCACUUGGGGUCUGAAUUAUUUGAAGCGGCCAUUCACUUGGGUCACACGAAGUGGCUAAGUCUUCCCCACGUGAUCUUAUGCAGUGUGUACCCAGACUCUGAGGGCUGUCAUCCCCUGCACCCUCUCUAAUUCAAAUCACAGUGAUUUAAGAAUUUGCAACAAUUCUGUUGGGCCUUGGGGACACCAAUAUCAAAAUCAGCCCAAAUUUCAGUUGAGUAGCAAUUUUAGAAGAUUAUUUUUUAUCUCAACAGGAAAAAGAAAAGGCAACGGUAUGUCUCACUAGCUAAUUAAGCAAUGUUAUUAGAUAUUAAAUGUUAUUAGAAAUUAAAAGGUAGUUUUU
rnacentral:lncRNA from 1 species